GCCUAAAGAGAAGCUUGCGGCUGAUUAGCUUGUUGGUGAGGUAAUGGCUCACCAAGGCGACGAUCAGUAUCUGGUUUGAGAGGACGAUCAGACACACUGGAACUGAGACACGGUCCAGACUCCUACGGGAGGCAGCAGUGGGGAAUUUUCCGCAAUGGGCGAAAGCCUGACGGAGCAAUACCGCGUGAGGGAUGAAGGCCUAUGGGUUGUAAACCUCUUUUUUCAGGGAGGAACAAAAUGACGUGUACCUGAAGAAUAAGCAUCGGCUAACUCCGUGCCAGCAGCCGCGGUAAGACGGGGGAUGCAAGUGUUAUCCGGAAUCACUGGGCGUAAAGCGUCUGUAGGUGGUUAAGUAAGUCAACUGUUAAAUCUUGAGGCUUAACCUCAAAAUCGCAGUCGAAACUGCUUGACUAGAGUAUAGUAGGGGUAAAGGGAAUUUCCAGUGCAGCGGUGAAAUGCGUAGAUAUUG
rnacentral:rRNA from 1 species